GCCUGAGAAACGGCUACCACAUCCAAGGAAGGCAGCAGGCGCGUAAAUUACCCACUCUCAAUGCGAGGAGGUAGUGACUAUCAAUAACGAGACAGAUCUCUAUGAGGCCUGUUAUCGGAAUGGGUACAAUGUAAACCCUUUAACGAGGAUCUAUGAGAGGGCAAGUCUGGUGCCAGCAGCCGCGGUAAUUCCAGCUCUCAAAGUGUAUAUCGUCAUUGCUGCGGUUAAAAAGCUCGUAGUUGGAUCUGAGAUGUCGGAGGUGGUGCUCUCUGAGUAACUGCCGUUCGUGUCUGAAUGUCGGUUUAGCGUAGCCUUCGCGGGUUGCGUUGACUGGCGUGAUUACCUUGAAUAAAUUAAAGUGCUCAAAACAGGCGUUACGCUUGUAUAUCCGCUCAUGGAAUAAUGGAAUAUGACUUCGGUUUGUUCUGUUGGUCUUAGAACCGAAAUAAUGGUUAAGCGGGACUGACGGGGGCAUACGUAUCGCUGCGAUAGAGGUGAAAUUCUUGGACCGCAGCGGGACGCCCAAUUGCGAAAGCAUUUGCCAAGAAUGUCUUCAUUAAUCAAGAACGAAAGUCAGAGGAUCGAAGGCGAUUAGAUACCGCCCUAGUUCUGACCGUAAACUAUACCAACUAGCGAUCAGGUGUCGAUAGUUUAGUCGCGCUUGGGAGCUUCUCGGAAACGAAAGUCUUCGGGUUCCGGGGGUAGUAUGGUUGCAAAACUGAAACUUAAAGGAAUUGACGGAAGGGCACCACCAGGAGUGGAGCCUGCGGCUUAAUUUGACUCAACACGGGAAAACUCACCCGGCCCGGACACUGUGAUGAUUGACAGAUUGAAAGUUCUUUCUCGAUUCGGUGGUUGGUGGUGCAUGGCCGUUCUUAGUUGGUGGAUUGAUUUGUCUGGUUUAUUCCGAUAACGAACGAGACUCUAACCUGCUAAAUAGACUUCCGGUAGUUUGGCCGGUCGACUUCUUAGAGGGAUCAGUGGUGUUCAGCCACAUGAAAGUGAGCAAUAACAGGUCUGUUAUGCCCAAUCACUAGU
rnacentral:rRNA from 1 species